rnacentral:rRNA from 1 species
AUUGAACGCUGGCGGCAUGCCUUACACAUGCAAGUCGAACGGUAACGCGGGGCAACCUGGCGACGAGUGGCGAACGGGUGAGUAAUGUAUCGGAACGUGCCCAGUUGUGGGGGAUAACUGCUCGAAAGAGCAGCUAAUACCGCAUACGACCUGAGGGUGAAAGCGGGGGAUCGCAAGACCUCGCGCAAUUGGAGCGGCCGAUAUCAGAUUAGGUAGUUGGUGGGGUAAAGGCCCACCAAGCCAACGAUCUGUAGCUGGUCUGAGAGGACGACCAGCCGCACUGGGACUGGGAGACGGCCCAGACUCCUACGGGAGGCAGCAGUGGGGAAUUUUGGACAAUGGACGCAAGUCUGAUCCAGCCAUGCCGCGUGCGGGAAGAAGGCCUUCGGGUUGUAAACCGCUUUUGUCAGGGAAGAAAAGGGCGACUCUAAUACAGUUGCCUCAUGACGGUACCUGAAGAAUAAGCACCGGCUAACUACGUGCCAGCAGCCGCCGUAAUAC